GGCGCCGAAGGCCACGUCGGUUACCUCCCCGACGUGAGAGGCGGCCUGAAGCGUGGCCGUCAAGUCCGAGGACAACAGCCGCCAGAACUUGCCGUUCC
rnacentral:rRNA from 14 species